rnacentral:rRNA from 1 species
AUACGGAGGGUCCGAGCGUUAUCCGGUAUUUAUUGGGUUUAAAGGGUGCGUAGGCGGUUUUAUAAGUCAGCGGUGAAAUUUUCCGGAACUCAACCGGGAUACUGCCGUUGAUACUGUAAGGCUAGGAUAUGGUUGCUGUGGGUGGAAUGUGUGGUGUAGCGGUGAAAUGCUUAGAGAUCACACAGAAUAUCGAUUGCGAAGGCAGCUCACAAAGCCAUUAUUGACGCUGAGGCACGAAAGUGUGGGGAUC